ACUAGAGUUAGUGUGUGUGGCAUCAAAGAAUCAAUGUGAUGAAAAGAACAAUGAUAAUGGUUAAAGUUAAUGCAAGGUAUGGCAUAAAGAACGAGUAAAGUUAAAGAACGAUGAUUGCUAGAGUUAGCAAAAUAAAGUGAUGUAAAGAACACUAGAGUUAGUGUAAAGACAAUGAUUGAACUAUAUAUCCUUAGAGUUAAGGAUCGAUCAUACUUGCUAUGAGUUCCGUGCUCGAGGGCGGUCGCUCCCCCUCGGGCGAUGCGCUCCGGAGUUUUGCAUCACGGGUUGGAGUAAACCCGAGGACGGUCUUAGCGGGAGGCAGCUGAGGGCCCGUGAUGAUGGACUUAAUGUGGGCAAGUUAAUGUGGCGAAACCCCCAGGUUAGCCGUGAGAUUAAAGAACAAAGAAUAAAGAACAAGGAACAAAGAGUAAAGAGAAAGAACAAAAGAAACUUGCAUAAUCUGCAUGAGUUUUAUGUUGAGCAUACUCCUUGCGUUAUUAUUCAGGCAUAUUAGCAUCAUGUUAUAGAUUGGUUACUAUAUUUCUUCUUAUCCUUUCUAUUAUGUCUGAGUUAGUCCUAGUGGGAAAGUCGGUGAGAUUGGGGCCGAACCCACUGGAAACUUUGUUGUAGUUCUCACCCCACUAUUCCACAGAGCCGGGACCGAGCGAGCCGGCGAGCGACCGCGUUAAAGGUAUCGCACAGUAAAUAGAGACCACCAGAAUUGAGUUU
rnacentral:lncRNA from 1 species